AGCUAGGGUUUAGAAUAUUGCCUAUGAGAGAUCAGAGCGAGCUUAUGAAACAAUGGCGCUCUAGUUCCGUUGCGGGCAUAUACUGAUUAUCAGUCCUUUCUUCAUCUCUGCAAUUGUUGUAUUUAUCGAUUGUUUCCGUAGAGAAAGCGUGCAGAGUUAAAAAAUCACGUAGGAAAGGUAAUUUGCACAGCGUGCAGAGUUGAAAUUCUUGCUUCUAAUCACGCAAGAAAGGUAAUCCGCACAUCUCUUGCUUUCGCUGGCAAAUAGUUUCGAAUUUAAGAUCUCCCAAUGUGAAAAUACUCAAGUCCAAAUCACUGCGCCAGCCUUUUUCGAUUGAUUUA